UCUCUCGACCUCCGCCCAUACUAUCACCUUCUCUCUCUCUCCUCCCGUGAUCCUCACUCGGUCCGCUUCCUUCCACUCGCCUCACUACACAUCCUCACCCAGCCUCUUCUGUAUAUCACUACCUCCGUAAGCCGUGGCCACGCACGCCACACAUCCAACCAUUUCACAAUCAAAUCAACACACACAUUUAGAGUUUGGUACCGUACCUCCCAUUUUCAUUUUUCCC
rnacentral:lncRNA from 1 species